rnacentral:rRNA from 1 species
CAUAAACAAAAUUAUUCGCCAGAGCACUACCGGCAAUAGCCUAAAACUCAAAGGACUUGGCGGUGCUUUAUAUCCUUCUAGAGGAGCCUGUUCUAUAAUCGAUAAACCCCGAUAAACCUCACCAAUCCUUGCUAAUACAGUCUAUAUACCGCCAUCUUCAGCAAACCCUAAAAAGGAAUAAAAGUAAGCACAAUCAUAAGACAUAAAAACGUUAGGUCAAGGUGUAACCUAUGGAAUGGAAAGAAAUGGGCUACAUUUUCUAUCUUAAGAAAACUUAAUACGAAAGUUGCUAUGAAACUAGCAACCAAAGGAGGAUUUAGUAGUAAACUAAGAAUAGAGUGCUUAGUUGAAUCAGGCCAUGAAGCACGCACACACCGCCCGUCACC